CCUCGUGCUCCUGCUGGAGAGCGACAGGCCCUCCCUCCAGUCCUCGUGCUCCUGCAGGAGAGCCGCAGGCCCUCCCUCCACUCGUGCUCCUGCUGGAGAGCGACAGGCCCUCCCUCCAGUCCUGGUGCUCCUGCUGGAGAGCGACAGGCCCUCCCUCCAGUCCUCGUGCUCCUGCUGGAGAGCGGCAGGCCCUCCCUCCGGUCUUCGGUGCGCGUGCUGGAGAGCGGCAGGAGCUCGGCCUUCUUAGGGUGUUUGGGACCCCAUCCAGCGUGGUUUUGCUUUAGUUCCCCGCCCAGGGAGAGGAGCUCGGCAAGCAGCACCGGGUUUAUUCUUGCUCAUUUAUUCAAAAGAAAGGUACUGAGUUUGAAAAUGCACCAAGCACUGGAGAGAAGAGAAAGGUGAGAGGACCUCGGGGCCUGCCUGUAAGAGGCUCAGGAUGUGGCUGGGGAUGAGGCCCAGUGGCACCUUCAACGCAGGAGAUGAGGGGGUCUGGAUCCCACCGUCAGAGCACGCACGCAACCUGUCCACUCCCUCAGGACUGCAGAAAAGGUCCAUUCUUGUAUUUCUUUUUAAGUUGAAUUAAAUCCAUCUCUAGCCCCUGCCUCUGAACUGAUGGAGUGUGGCUGUUAUUGGGCCGCCCUCACCCGCAAGGGGUGGAACCAGAGCUUGGGGCUGAGGCGCUCCUGGAGUGUUUAGCGCCUCUGCUGUCAGGACAUCCUGUGGCCACUGGCACGCUGUCUUCCCACACAGAGCCCCCGACCAGCAGCGGAGCCACCCACUCUCCACAGCCAGGGUUGGGAGCCCUGGGGCCCGAGUCCCCGGUCCCACGUGCCACACAAGGCAGGACAUUCUGGGUGCUGUCGCAUCCCCGGAAUCAGGGCCUGGACCCUGGUCAGAGCAGGACCUGCAGGUGACCCCGGGUGGGGCAGACUGUCUUCUGUCCUUGGUGGCAAAGCCGGUGUUCUCGGCGUCAUGUCUGCACACGUGUGCCUGAAGCCACGGGAACGCAGGGGCUACCUCCGGGCCUGGGCCUGGGCUGUGGAGCAGGAUCGGGGAGGACACACAGGUGGGCGUCUCAAGAACUGUGGUGUACACAGCUGAGCCCCUGCAGCUCUGCUUUGCCGGGCCUCACCCUCGGUGCUGGGUGCAAGACGUGACAAGAUGGCAUGGGAAGCUUCCCGGGGAACGCUGGAACUGGGUGUUUGAAGGAGGACCUCAUGGCGGCAGCUCCAGCCCAAGUACUGCAACUGUGGGGCCGUGCCAGGAGCAGGUGCUGCGGAGCCUGUGUGGGUCCAGGACAAGAGGAGCACCAGAAGCCCCUGGAGGGCCGUGCAGACGACACUGUCGGGCCGGCCCAGCCCAGGCCCCAGCAGUUAUGACUCCUCUGUGAUCAGAGGAUGUGGCUGAGGAUGUGCAUUUCCGUCAAGUUCCCAGGAGAACCUGGUGCUGCUGCUUCGGGGACCCCACUUUGAGGACCACUGAUCUAACACUGCCCCUCGUGGCAAACGCGGAAUGACUCAAGAUUCAGCUGGAUGGAUCAUUCAGGGAGCAAAUCCACCUUUGCCGCCUGGCACACCCUGGCCAUUCGCUCACUGUCCACGUGGACGUAUAAACUAUGGGAGAAACAGUGAUGGCCUCUCCUCCACCACCAGGCUGGCAGGGGUCGUUUGGCUGGCAUCAGGCUGGAGGAGACUCGGAUGGGUAAGACCAACGCACUUAGUUUGGGUGUGUGGGGAGGGCAAGAGGAGCAUGAGCGGCGAUCUGUCUUCCCUGUUGUAAAUCCCCCUGUACGUGCAGGUGCAUGGCGAGAGGGUCUCCACACCUCCCAGCUUUUCUCUGAGGAUGUCCAGAAGGAACGAGCAAAGCAGGAUUGGCCUCCAGAACAGAGGCCCCGAGGCUGACUCCAGAUUUCCUGUGUCUACGACCUAUGUCCUCCCAGCACGCCUGCCCCUUGCGUUCAUGAACAGUGACCCAGCUGCAGGGACUGCGUGGCUGAACGCCGACCAACUGUGGGGCAGUCCUGGGCUGGGCCGUGGCUUGGGACCAAGAAGACACGCAGCAGACACCAGUGAAGCAGGAGUUUUAUUGAGUUCCUCCAUGUCACAUUAAUACAUUAGCUUCAUGACACAGUUUCAAAGACCCGGGUCCUUCUGACGUAGUGUGUUGGAGGCAGCUAGGCCAGCUUGAGGCACUGCGUGUUAAAGCUGUCCCCCUCCUUGCCGGCGACAGCCUCCAGCAGGGCCUGUUUCUUCUGCAUGCUCCGCGAGGACUCCAGCUCGUACAUGGUGGUCAGGUUGAAGAGCACGCUCUCGUGCAGGUAGUGCCUGGGGUCCUGCUGGACCAUGGCCUCCAGCUGCCGCAGGGAGUCCUUCAGCUUGCCCAGGUAGAGCAGACACACGGCAGCGUUGUUGUUGGCCUAGGGAGGAGCACACGCCCAGGGUCGGCCCACACAACCAGGACAGACGCCCGCCCAUUCCAGGCUGUGUGCUGGGCCGUGUUAGGGGCCUGGGGGUGGUGCAGAGCUGCUGGGCAGAGCCUAGGUGGCCCUGUUGGGUCACUUCCCCUAAGGGCCACGGCCACUGCCUGGAGCUGGUGGACUGGAGAGAGAGAGCGCAGGCCCCUGCUGAGACGUGUGUGGGUGUAUGUUUCUAGCGUCUGUGAAAGGCAGAGGACGGAGGAUCCUGCAGCUUGGGGAUCUUACCACUGCGUUUGUUGGAUCCAUCCUUAAGAUCUCUGUGAAGAACCUGUGGGCUUCUGCGAAGUUAUUCUGCCCGAGGUGAAGGAACGCGCUGUAACACAAGCAACGGUGGCAGUUAGCGGGGAAAGCCCAGGAGCUGCUGUCCCCCAACACAACCCACAGGGGCUUUGGAUCCCACAGAGACCCAGCGUAUGGCCCUGCGUGGCCCGGGGUUCCUGAUCUCCAGGUAGAGGCGGUGAGCUGCGUUUUGCAUUCAGGCUCGCACAUUAAAGCCACUCUAGUUUUUAUUUAUUUUUAUUUUUUAGACGGAGUUUUGCUCUCGUUGCCCAGGCUGUAGUGCAGUGGCACGAUCUCGGCUCACCGCAACCUCCGCCUCCUGGAUUCAAGCAACUCUCCUGCCUCAGCCUCCCAAGUAGCUGGGACUACAGGCGCAUGCCACCACGCCUGGCUGAUUUUUUGUAUUUUUAGUAGAGAUGGGGUUUCACCAUGUUGGCUGGGCUGGUCUUAAACUCCUGACCUCAAGUGAUCUACCUGCCUCAGCCUCCCAAAGUGCUGAGAUUACAGGCAUGAGCCACUGCACCCGGCCAAGCCACUCUAGUUUUUAUUAAUUGAGAUACAGUAACUUCACCUAAAUGACUUCCUGCUAAAAACGGACACCUGCUUCAUUUACGCUUUCUGAUCCUGGGUGCAGGCUUUGUCCAAGGCGUGUUUCCUCCUCACGAACGUGCACUCGCACGACGCUGUGCGUUCUACCACAGAACACCAGAGCACAGGAUCCAGACACAGAACACCAGGGCACAGGAUCCAGACACAGAACACCAGGGCACAGGAUCCAGACACAGAACACCAGGGCACAGGAUCCAGACACAGAACACCAGGGCACAGGAUCCAGACACAGAACACCAGAGCACAGGAUCCAGACACAGAACACCAGAGCACAGGAUCCAGACACAGAACACCAGAGCACAGGAUCCAGAACGGCCGCUACGCCAGCAAUGGUGACCUUUACGCACACAUACGCUGCAAACGGGGGCAAUACAAGCGCUUCUCUGAAGAACAAGGGGGAAAUAGCUCCUUAAAAAUCAGCUUCUGUGACUAAAAGAACAUCACUGCAAUUCAAGAAAACACCCGUGUACUCCUUGGGUCUCAGCUCUGAGAGACACAGGGCAAGAGGAGAUACCGGGAGAAGCGCCUUCUCUAGGGAGCUUUCCGACUCACAUCCAUGAAAGUGGCAGCUAACUCCACAGCUUGGAAACAGGAUAACAUCUCAGGCCCUUCACAACUGUUGCUCUUAUCCCACAAAAGAAAUACCAUUCGAGGAGGAAGAAAAAACAGAAUGAAACAAGAGAAAACACAGGCGUGCACACACACCACACACUGAAUGGCAUCUGUCCAUCACUGCCCACUGUCUGCACAGUCUGAAGCGGUUUGAAGUCCACUACUAUCGACUUCCCACUUGCGGACUAAAAAGAAACCAAAGGCAGCAUGGGCUCCGUGACACGGCCCUCAGCUCGAACGCCUGCAUCUCCUGUCUAACAGGACCGUGUGAGAUACUGAACUGAAGAUGAUUACAGCCCAUCAUCAAGACCGAUCAAGAUUAACGUGUGCCGGCGGCCGUGGCACGCGCUUACAAGCACAGCUCGCCUGACCCUCGCGACAGCCUGGGAUGCAGAUGCUGUCGCUAGCUUCGCUUUCUAGAUGAAGUCGUCAGGCUUGGAAAGAUGAGACAAUUUUCUGAGGUCACACAGCUAACACAGAACAGUGUGGUCAACACCCAGGCUGUCCAACGCCCAGACCAUGUGCUGAUCCUCCACACUGCAAGGCCUCCUGAGGCUGGCAUGGGACUUUACUCAAUGUCUCAGAGGAAGAUAACAGAGAAAUCUUGGGAUAUUCUUUGCUACCCACCGAUUUUCCUGAUGAUUAGAAAGUAAGUUGACAUUUUCAGAAUUAUUAAAAUGUAAUUAGGAUAUAAAAUCCUACCGAUUUCUAAAAGUUAGGAGCAACUGAAAAAAUUAAACAUAAAAAUGCAAUUAAAAGAAUUCCAGAAUAUGUAGAAAACAAAUCAGUAAAAGACACUAUUAAAAAGGAAAUACAGUGGCUGGGCAUGGUGGCUCACACCUGUAAUCUCAGCCCUUCGGGAGGCCGAGGUGGGAGGAUCGCUGAAUUUCAGGAGUUCAAGACCAGACCGGGCAACAAAGUGAGACCUUGUCUCUAUUAAAACAGAAAAGAAAAUUAGCCAGGUGUGGCCGCCAGCACCAGGUGUGGCCGUCAGCACCUGUGGUCCCCAGCUACAUGAGAGGCUAAGGCAGGUGGAUCUCUUGAGCCCAGGGGUUCUGCAGUGAGUCAUAAUUGCGCCACUGCACUCCAGCCUGGCAGACAGAGCAAGAUCCUGUCUCACAAAGAAAAAAACAAAAAACAGUGUAUAAACUAAUCCAGAAAAAGGAAGCAUAAACAGAAAUGUAAAAGUAGAAAUAGCUACAGGCAGAACAAGGAAAUGGAAAUAAUGGUAAGAGCACUGUCUUUUACUCUGUGCGAAUCCACGAGAAAACAGGGACCAAACAGGUGGCUUUCUAGAAAACUCUGUUACCAAAAUGGUUCCCAGAAACAGAGAAAAAUCCUCAGGCACACAACACUAAGGCAGAUUCAUAAUGAUAAAUUAGGAAAAGCACACAGCACAACUCACGUGCUCAGCAAAGGCAAUUCUUAGGUGAAUACUCAAACCUUCAGGGAAUAGAUCAUUCCACAUUACUCAAGUUUUCCAGAGAGAGAGAAAGCAAGCUUCUGACUUACAUGAAGACAGAAAACAGCCGCCAUAUCCUUUUGAGAUGUCACCUGUGCACACGCAAACCAGACACUAACAUCACUUAUAAACGCAGAAACCCGGGGAAACGCCGCCCUGAAGCUCCAACCUGAAGAGCAACACAUGGUCAGUGUUUCCGUGGCAGAAACUGGAACUGUGCGCUGGGUCUGGCCCUCCCCUCCUUGGGCGCUGUCAAGGUUAAUACUGAGUGUCAAUUUGAUUGAAGGAUGCAAAGUAUUGAUCCUGGGUGUGUCUGUGAGGGUGUUGCCAAAGGAGAUGAACACUUGAGUCAGUGGGCUGGGGGAGGCUGACCCGCCCUUAAUCUGGGUGGGCACCAUCUCAUCAGCUGCCAUUCACAGCCAGAAUAAAGCAGGCAGAAGUUGGAAAGAGCAGACUUGCCAAGUCUCCCAGCCUCAUCUUUCUCCCGUGCUGGAUGCUUCCUGCCCUUGAACAUCAGACUCCGAGUUCUUCAGCUGUUGGACUCUUGGACUUACACCAGUGAUUUGCCAGGGGCUCUCAGGCCUUCAGCCACAGGCUGAAGGCUGCACUGUCGGCUUCCCUACUGUUGAGGUUCUGGGACUUGGACUGGCUUCCUUGCUCCUCAGCUAUUGUGGGACCUCACCUUGUGAUCGAGAGUCAAUUCUCCUAAUAAACUCCCCUUCAUAGAUUCAUCUAUUCUAUGAGUCCUGUCCCUCUAGAGAGCCCCAGCUAAUACAGGCACUGAGGGGUGGGGGAGCGCUCCAGUUCUCAGCUCCUUCACCUGCUUCUCUGUCACAGUUUUGGGAUUCCUCACCACCUUGGUGGCACGGAAGCCAUUACAGAUGGGCAAUGGCCAUUUUAAAGUGUUCUCAAGGCGGAGUGUCCUGCAGUCCAUGGCUGUGAGCUGCUGACUGGAGAGGGAGGCAAGAAUGAUUCUUCUCUGUGGUGCGGGAGUCAGAUGAUUUUAAACCAUCCAAAGACAGAACAGCUAUGUUAACAGCCACAUAGGUUGCUAGAUGAUAUUAAAUCUGUAGUCAGCUAGAAAACCCAGUUCUUUUCAUAUUUACCACUGAUCAACUUUAGUCACAGAAACACAGGUCUGCAAUUGAUACAGAAAACUCAUUUCAGCUGGGCCCAGUGGCUCAUGCCUGUAAUCCCAGCACUUUGGGAGGCAGAGGCAGGAGGAUUGCUUGAGGCCAGGAGUUUGAGACCAGCCUGGGCAACAUGGCAAGACCCCCUCUCUACAAAAAACUUAGCUGGCCAUGGUGGUGCAUUCCUGUAGUCCCAGCUACUUGGGAGGCUGAGGCGGGAGGACUGCUUGAGCCCAGGAGGUCAAGGCUGCAGUGAGCUGCAUGUGCGCCUCUGCACUCCAGUGUGGGUGACAGAGCGAGGCCUCGUCUCAAAAACAGACAAAAAAACCCACCAGAAAAACCCUACCCAAAAACCAACACGGAAAACUUUAGUCUAAAUUUUUAUGUUGUAAAACAUUCUUGUAUUUUAAAACUUAUCAGAAAAACUGUUCCAUUCCAACUGGGCAAAUCCCCCCAGGCUAAUGUACAUAAACAAAUAAAAGAAAGAUGCGAUCUAUUUCAGAGUACCCUAGCUUCUCUUCCAUGUUUUUCUUGAGUUCUCCUUCACCAGCUCCUCUUCCCGCCCCGUCGUGAGCACAGCAGAGCAGGCCCCAGGGGUCCUCUCCUUUCCCCUGACCCCCCCUCACCUGCUCUCUCUGCAGAACCCGAGGGCCUGCUGGGAACCAGGCAGGCUGUCAAUGCAUAAAUUAGGCUGCAUCCGUGCAGAAGCCUCCUCUACCAGACAAGCUUGACCUUGCCUUCCUUCUCUGUCCUUGUAGAAUCCAGUGUGAGCAAGAAUCCUGCUAAGUCAGUUUAAGAAAAGUCCCCGCCCUCGGUGUCUUAGCACCCGGAGAUCCUACCACCCUGGCCGGCUGUCAGCAACGAUCCUAUCAAGUCUGCUUGGCCAGAAACCCCUUCUUGAUGCUUCCUCUGGGUAAUUUUCCA
rnacentral:lncRNA from 1 species